CAAAUCUGCAUACAUAUCAUUUACCAGUAUCAUCAUCCAUUAUAUCUAUGAUGAAAUUGGUGCGUAGAUGAUCUUUACAUAUACAAUUGUCAAGAUGGUUAUUAUAGAGGUGAGAAAAUAUUUCUCUUCCAAAAAUUCUAUAACAAUCAAAGAGUAAAGAUUUUUUAGGAGGUGGGUGGUGAUUAACUAUAGAUUUUUCACUUUGCCUGGCACAAACUUAUUUUAUGGCUGGUUAAGAGCAUGGCUGGUUAAGAGCAUGGCCAACGAGAUAAUUUAGUUUUGGAAUUCUAAGAAAAAAAAAAAAUAUAUAUAUAUAUAUA
rnacentral:lncRNA from 1 species